rnacentral:rRNA from 1 species
AGAGUUUGAUUAUGGCUCAGGAUGAACGCUAGCGAUAGGCCUAACACAUGCAAGUCGAGGGGCAGCACAUGAAGUAGCAAUACGGAUGGUGGCGACCGGCGCACGGGUGAGUAACGCGUAUGCAACCUGCCUACAACAGGGGAAUAACCCGUUGAAAGACGGACUAAUACCCCAUAACACAGGGAUCCCGCAUGGGAAUAUUUGUUAAAGAUUUAUCGGUUGUAGAUGGGCAUGCGUUCCAUUAGCUUGUUGGUGAGGUAACGGCUCACCAAGGCAACGAUGGAUAGGGGAACUGAGAGAUUUAUCCCCCACACUGGAACUGAGACACGGUCCAGACUCCUACGGGAGGCAGCAGUGAGGAAUAUUGGUCAAUGGACGCAAGUCUGAACCAGCCACGUCGCGUGAAGGAAGACGGCCCUACGGGUUGUAAACUUCUUUUGUAAGGGAAUAAAGUGUAGUACGUGUACUAUUUUGCAUGUACCUUACGAAUAAGGAUCGGCUAACUCCGUGCCAGCAGCCGCGGUAAUACGGAGGAUCCGAGCGUUAUCCGGAUUUAUUGGGUUUAAAGGGUGCGCAGGCGGGAGAUUAAGUCGGCGGUGAAAUUUUGCAGCUCAACUGUAAAAGUGCCUUCGAAACUGGUUUUCUUGAGUGUGGAUGAAGUAGGCGGAAUUUGUGGUGUAGCGGUGAAAUGCAUAGAUAUCACGAGGAACUCCGAUUGCGCAGGCAGCUUACUAAACCAUAACUGACGCUCACGCACGAAGGCGUGGGGAUCAAACAGGAUUAGAUACCCUGGUAGUC